rnacentral:misc_RNA from 1 species
UGUGAAUUGUCCAUACAAAGUCUCUGCUACGAGCAAAAGAAAAGUGCUGGUUUCUACGACAUUUUUCAAAUGCUAUGGUUAAGGAAAUGAAAAUAAUCAUACAAUGCUGGUCCAGUCGUGAAUGAACCAAAGCAUCUUUUAUUCCAGCCUCAACACCGCAUGGUAUAUUAUAGGGUAUAAGUUAGUAACCAAUAAGAACUUUUAAACGAAAUGCAAGCUAAUGGAAUGAAUUGAAAGCUUAAAAGAGUUAUAAAUCCAAAACUAACUCCUACACUGGAGAGGAACCAGACCCAAGGGCCUUCCAAAGUUUGACCCAGUCCGACAUGGCAUCAGCAGCAGAAGCAAAAACAGGAUCUAAUAUUCCCAACUGUUGCUUCAACGCCGUUGCGAUCUCAACCACACAAUCUUCUGCUGUGGCUGCCGUUCGUGGCAACCUCACUGACUGAAAGAAAGGGACAACUUCCUACAUUAGCUUCACCCCUUCCCACUCUUUUU